AAUCAACGCUGGCGGCGUGCCUCAGACAUGCAAGUCGAACGCGAAAGUCCCCUUCGGGGGAUGAUUAGAGUGGCGCACGGGUGAGUAACACGUAGGUAAUCUACCUUCGAGUGGGGAAUAACUCAGGGAAACUUGAGCUAAUACCGCAUAAUGCAGCGGCACCACAUGGUGACAGUUGUUAAAGCAUUUAUGCGCUUGAAGAGGAGCCUGCGGCGGAUUAGCUAGUUGGUAAGGUAAUGGCUUACCAAGGCUACGAUCUGUAACCGGCCUGAGAGGGCGGACGGUCACACUGACACUGAAUAACGGGUCAGACUCCUACGGGAGGCAGCAGUCGGGAAUUUUGGGUCAAUGGGCGAAAGCCUGACCCAGCAACGCCGCGUGAAGGA
rnacentral:rRNA from 1 species